CCAAAGGGGCAUCCGCUCCGUUGAUUACGUCCCUGCCCUUUGUACACACCGCCCGUCGCUACUACCGAUUGAAUGGCUUAGUGAGACUCUCGGAUCGGGUUUUAGGAACCGGUAACGGAUCCUUUUUUCUGAGAAGUUUGUCAAACUUGGUCAUUUAGAGGAAGUAAAAGUCGUAACAAGGUUUCCGUAGGUGAACCUGCGGAAGGAUCAUUAAAAAUUUUUUGUAUUCAAAAUUUCAAUCUUUAUAAAAGUUAAUUUUUAUUUAUAUAAAAUAAAAAAAAACAACUUUCAACAACGGAUCUCUUGGGUCUUGCGUCUAUGAAAAAAGCACCGAAAUGCGAUAAGUAAUGUGAAUUGCAGAAAUCCGUGAAUCAUCAAAUCUUUGAACGCAAAUUGCACUCUUUGGUAUUCCGAAAAGAAUGCUUGCUUGAGGGUUGUUCUAAUAAUAUCGCUUUUUUUUAUAAAAAAAAAAAAACAGAGUUUCUCAAGUUUUUUAUAACUUUUGUAACUUUUAAAUUUACUUUUCGAUAUUAAAUAUUUAUUGGGAAAGGUGUAACUUGCCACUUCUGAGUUUCGUUAACAAUUAUUUACUAAAUCGUUAGAGCGGGGGAUUUACCUAAUUUUUUAUAAUUGGGGGAUAUAUAAUACAAAAUUUUUUUCUUACCUCAACGCACGUAAGAUUACCCCCUCACCCUAGCAUAUCUUAAUCGGAGGGAAGAAAAAAAAAGAUUCCUUUUUACAGCGAGAGAGUGGGAAAGCCAAAUUUUAAUCUCCCCGCCCCCUGGUGAUUGUAUUUGUAAAAGAGUAUGACUUCGCGUCGAUUAAAACUUUGGAUAGGAUCUAAAGGGUAGAGCCCGCUCUCAUUAUCCCUGACGUGAUAUUACUUUCACAUCCAGUGUUUGGGUUGCGCUCAAACGGGGGGAAUUCACUCCGCCAUAUUUCAUAGACCAUACCACACUACCCGGGGGAAGGAAAAACUUUAAAUUAGUAAAAUACCGGAUUUUAAAAGGACGGUAAACCCCCCUUGGUGGAAAAAAUAAAAUAGGGGUACCCUGCCUUCGGGCGUGCUACUCCGGGAGCCAAUCCGUUCCUAAAAAAAGAAAGGGAUUCCUUCAAAGAUAAACCCCCAAUGGGGUGGGUAGGAUGGCCGAACCUUCCUUGCCCGGCUGGAUGGCCCCCCCACUUGACUGGGGGGGAUUCAAUUNGGGAGAAUCCAAGGGGGAGGGUUCACCCUUACACGAAACCNAAGNAAAUUAUUUAAAAA
rnacentral:misc_RNA from 1 species